rnacentral:rRNA from 1 species
GACGAACGCUGGCGGCGUGCUUAACACAUGCAAGUCGAACGGAAAGGCCCUGCGUUUGUGGGGUGCUCGAGUGGCGAACGGGGGAGUAACACGUGAGUAACCUGCCCUUGACUUUGGGAUAACUUCAGGAAACUGGGGCUAAUACCGGAUAGGAGCUCCUGCUGCAUGGUGGGGGUUGGAAAGUUUCGGCGGUUGGGGAUGGACUCGCGGCUUAUCAGCUUGUUGGGGGGGUAGUGGCUUACCAAGGCUUUGACGGGUAGCCGGCCUGAGAGCGUGACCGGCCACCAUGGUACUGCGAUACGGCGCAGACUCCUACGGGAGGCAGCAGUGGGGAAUCUUGCACAACGGCCGGAAGCCUGAUGCAGCAACGCCGCGUGCGGGAUGCCGGCCUUCGGGUUGUAAACCGCUUUCGCCGGUGACGAAGAGUGAGUGACGGUACUGGGUAAAGAAGCACCGGCUAACUACGUG